rnacentral:rRNA from 1 species
GUAGGGAAUCUUCGGCAAUGGACGAAAGUCUGACCGAGCAACGCCGCGUGAGUGAAGAAGGUUUUCGGAUCGUAAAACUCUGUUGGUAGAGAAGAACGUUGGUGAGAGUGGAAAGCUCAUCAAGUGACGGUAACUACCCAGAAAGGGACGGCUAACUACGUGCCAGCAGCCGCGGUAAUACGUAGGUCCCGAGCGUUGUCCGGAUUUAUUGGGCGUAAAGCGAGCGCAGGUGGUUUCUUAAGUCUGAUGUAAAAGGCAGUGGCUCAACCAUUGUGUGCAUUGGAAACUGGGAGACUUGAGUGCAGGAGAGGAGAGUGGAAUUCCAUGUGUAGCGGUGAAAUGCGUAGAUAUAUGGAGGAACACCGGAGGCGAAAGCGGCUCUCUGGCCUGUAACUGACACUGAGGCUCGAAAGCGUGGGGAGCAAACAGGAUUAGAUACCCCGGUAGUCC